GGCGUGGCCAGGGUCCGUUAGCCGAGCGGACCUGCUGCAGCGCCUCCCGGGAGUCCGCAGGCUCCCGCAGGCCAGAGAGCGCUCCCGCCUUAUUUUGGAACUGAGGCACCAGCCAGGCGGGGAGGCGCACGGAGAACAGCACCUGCUGGGGGCCAGGGGGAGCCAAAGAGAGCAGGAGUCCCUCGGCUACCUCCAUUUACGGAGCGCUUACCAAAUGCAAGGCACCAUUCUGAGCUUUCCGGGCUAUUAAUUCACUUAAUCCUCGCAACAACACUAGGAGCGGGUCGGCGGCAGCGCUUGAACUUGAACCCAGGCCUGUCGCACACACGAGAAGCUGAGCCUACCUCGAAGGUGCUGAUGAAGCCCAGAUGCACGGCCACCAGCUUCCAGUAGAAGAGGGGCUUUUCCCCACAAGGGCCUGGCUAAGAGCCUGUGGAUGGCUGGGUGCACAGAUGGGAAGUGGAUACUGGAUAUGAUAUGGUGAACACCUGGAGGAGACCCAAACCCUGAUGGAAUUACAAUCUAGGGAUCCCUGGGUGGCUCAGCGGUUUGGCCCCUGCCUUCGGCCCAGGGCCUGAUCCUGGAGACCCUAGAUCGAGUCCCAUGUCAGGCUCCCUGCAUGGAGCCUGCUUCUCCCUCUGCCUGUCUCUCUGCCUCUCUAUGUGUGUGUGUGUGUGUGUCUCUCAUGAAUAAAUAAAAUAUUUUUUUUAAAAAAGGAAUUACAGUUUAGUUGGGGAAACAGAGGUCAAACAAAUAAGCACAAAUAUAUAAUUGCAAACAAGUCUCAUGAAGGAAUGAUGCUAAGUAAGGAGAGAAUGGAGGGGCAGCACCC